rnacentral:lncRNA from 1 species
GCUGGUCUCAGUUCCUUGUUUUAUGAGGUGUUGUGGCGACGUGGCGAAGAUAAGCACAAUCCCCAAAACUUCAAUAUGGUUUGUCAUUUGAUUUCUUGGAGCCUGGGGGAGAUACCAUACACAAGGCAGGACAUUUCUCUGCAUCCAGGUUGAGGCUUGCUACCAGAAAGAACAUGGAGCACUCUGUGUCGGUGCUAGAGACAGAAUGAUCCCGGGACCUCCAGAGCCUUCUGACCAACUACCUGCGAAUCAUG